rnacentral:pre_miRNA from 1 species
GAUUAUCGGAGGAUGAAAAUGAUUAUGUUGGAGGGUUAGGGUUUGGGUUUCAAGCAUCCAUUCAGGAUAGAUGUUUUGGACAACAACUCAUCUUCAAGGGUUUUCAAUCGAUUAUCGGAAGAUGAAAAUGAUUGAAAACGCUUGAAGAUGAGUUGUUGUCCACAGCAUCUAUCCCAUAAUGGAUGCUUGAAACCCAAAACCUAACCCUUCAACAUAAUCAUUUUCAUAUUCGGAUAAUC